UGGAUUCAGAGUCACAAUGUUCAUUGACCAAUCAGUUUGUCUUGAUAAACCUCAUUUGCAUAUCGCUUACCUCCCUUAGCUUGUUUGUGUCUAUUUAUAGAGUGUAAAACUAGGUUAGUAGUUUUGCACAUGCUCGAGCAAUGAAUCUUGGGAUCUCAUUUGCAUACCGCUUACCUCCCUUUGUGUGACCUAGAUGUCUAUUUUUGGAAACGCGGAAAUGAACUAAAUAUCAUGAUGAAUGAAAGCUGCGAUCGUUUUAAAAAUAAUGUGUACUUAUUAGCUGUCAAUUAUUUGAGAAUGGGGGAAGUUAAUCUACGAAGAUUUAGCCAUGUAUACUUUGAUAUUGCCUCUCCACAAAAAUAAACAUUAGUGUUUCAUCUAAAGAGGACGCACAUGUAAAAAAAAUAUGAGUCCUGUCAGAAUUUAUUGCGUCAGAGACGCGGGACGCGGGGGUAGAUUUA